CCUUCGGGAGCUGACGAGUGGCGGACGGGUGAGUAAUGCUUGGGAAUCUGGCUUAUGGAGGGGGAUAACUACUGGAAACGGUAGCUAAUACCGCGUAAUCUCUUAGGAGUAAAGGGUGGGACUUUCGGGCCCACCUGGCCAUAAGAUGAGCCCAAGUGGGAUUAGGUAGUUGGUGGGGUAAAGGCCUACCAAGCCGACGAUCUACUAGCCUGGUCUGAGAGGAUGGCCAGCCACACUGGAACCUGAGACACGGUCCAGACUCCUACGGGAGGCAGCAGUGGGGAAUAUUGCACCAAUGGGGGGAACCCUGAUGCAGCCAUGGCGCGUGAAUGAAGCAAGGGCUUCGGGUUGUAAACGUUCUUUCGGUGAUGAGGAAGGCAGGCUUGUUAAUAGCAAGUUUGAUUGACGUUAGUCACAGAAGAAGCACCGGCUAACUCCGUGCCAGCAGCCGCGGUAAUACGGAGGGUGCGAGCGUUGAAUCGGGAAUAACUGGGCGUAAAGGGCACGCAGGCGGAUUGUUAAGUGAGAUGUGAAAGCCCCGAGCUCAACUUGGGAAUUGCAUUUCAGACUGGCAGUCUUGAGUAUUUUAGGGAGGGGUAGAAUUCCACGUGUAGCGGUGAAAUGCGUAGAGAUGUGGAGGAAUACCGAAGGCGAAGGCAGCCCCUUGGGAAUAUACUGACGCUCAUGUGCGAAAGCGUGGGGAGCAAACAGGAUUAGAUACCCUGGUAGUCCACGCUGUAAACGAUGUUGAUUUGGGGAUUGGGCUUUAAGCUUGGUGCCCGUAGCUAACGUGAUAAAUCAACCGCCUGGGGAGUACGGCCGCAAGGUUAAAACUCAAAUGAAUUGACGGGGGCCCGCACAAGCGGUGGAGCCAUGUGGUUUAAUUCGAUGCAACGCGAAGAACCUUACCUACCCUUGUACAUCCAUGGAAUCA
rnacentral:rRNA from 1 species